GGCCGGCUAGCUCAGUUGGUUAGAGCGUCGUGCUAAUAACGCGAAGGUCUUGGGUUCGACCCCCACGCUGGCCA
rnacentral:tRNA from 1 species